rnacentral:rRNA from 1 species
GACGAACGCUGGCGGCGUGCUUAACACAUGCAAGUCGAACGGAAAGGCCCUGCUUUUGUGGGGUGCUCGAGUGGCGAACGGGUGAGUAACACGUGUGUAACCUGCCCUUGACUUUGGGAUAACUUCAGGAAACUGGGGCUAAUACCGGAUAGGAGCUCCUGCUGCAUGGUGUGGGUUGGUAAGUUUCGGCGGUUGGGGAUGGACUCGCGGCUUAUCAGCUUGUUGGUGGGGUAGUGGCUUACCAAGGCUUUGACGGGUAGCCGGCCUGAGAGGGUGACCGGCCACAUUGGGACUGAGAGACGGACCAGACGCCUACGGGAGGCAGCAGUGGGGAAUAUUGCACAAUGGGCGGAAGCCUGAUGCAGCAACGCCGCGUGCGUGAUGACGGCCUUCGGGGUGUAAACCGCUUUCGCCUGUGACGAAGCGUGAGUGACGGUAAUGGGUAAAGAAGCACCGGCUAACUACGUG